GAGUUUGAUCCUGGCUCAGAUUGAACGCUGGCGGCGUGCUUAACACAUGCAAGUCGAACGAGAAAGUCCUAGCUUGCUAGGGCGAGUAAAGUGGCGCACGGGUGAGUAACGCGUGAAUAAUCUACCUUCGAAUCUGUGAACAACACACCGAAAGGUGUGCUAACCGGAUAAUAUCUUUUGCCCUUCGGUGUAGAAGAUCAAAGGCGGCCUCUUCUUGAAAGCCGUUGUUUGGAGAUGAGUUCGCGUACCAUUAGCUAGUUGGUGGGGUAAAGGCCUACCAAGGCUACGAUGGUUAGCUGGUCUGAGAGGAUGACCAGUCACACUGGAACUGAGACACGGUCCAGACUCCUACGGGAGGCAGCAGUGAGGAAUCUUGCGCAAUGGGGGAAACCCUGACGCAGCAACGCCGCGUGAGUGAUGAAGGCUCUUGGGUCGUAAAGCUCUGUCAAUAGGGAAGAAAUCAUCUAUGGUUAAUAUCCAUAGUUGUUGACGGUACCUAUGAAGGAAGCACCGGCUAACUCCGUGCCAGCAGCCGCGGUAAUACGGGGGUGCAAGCGUUAAUCGGAAUUAUUGGGCGUAAAGGGAGCGCAGGCUGUUUUGCAGGUCAGAUGUGAAAGCCCGGGGCUUAACCCCGGAAGUGCAUUUGAAACCGCAAGACUUGAGUAUGGGAGAGGGUAGUGGAAUUCCUGGUGUAGAGGUGAAAUUCGUAGAUAUCAGGAGGAACACCGGUGGCGAAGGCGGCUUCUUGGAUCGAUACUGACACUGAGGUACGAAAGCGUGGGGAGCAAACAGGAUUAGAUACCAUGGUAGUCAACGAAGUAAACGUUGUUCACUAGGUGUAGCGGGUAUUGACCCCUGCUGUGCCGCAGUUAACGCAUUAAGUGAACCGCCUGGGGAGUACGGUCGCAAGACUAAAACUCAAAGAAAUUGACGGGGACCCGCACAAGCGGUGGAGCAUGUGGUUCAAUUCGACGCAACGCGAAGAACCUUACCUGGGCUUGACAUCCCGAGAAGUCCCUCGAAAGAGGGAUGUGCCCUUCGGGGAACUCGGAGACAGGUGCUGCAUGGCUGUCGUCAGCUCGUGUCGUGAGAUGUUGGGUUAAGUCCCGCAACGAGCGCAACCCUUCUCUUUAGUUGCCAUCAGUAAUGUUGGGCACUCUUGGGAGACUGCCGGUGUCAAACCGGAGGAAGGUGGGGAUGACGUCAAGUCCUCAUGGCCCUUAUACCCAGGGCUACACACGUACUACAAUGGCCGGUACAAAGAGGCGCCAACCCGCGAGGGGGAGCAAAUCUCAGAAAGCCGGUCUCAGUUCGGAUUGGAGUCUGCAACUCGACUCCAUGAAGGCGGAAUCGCUAGUAAUCGCGGAUCAGCAUGCCGCGGUGAAUACGUUCCCGGGCAUUGUACACACCGCCCGUCACACCAUGAGAGUCGCUUGUACCAGAAGUCGGUGCGCUAACCAGCAAUGGAGGCAGCCGGCCACGGUAGGGUCAGCGACUGGGGU
rnacentral:rRNA from 1 species